GUAGUUCAGUGGCAGAGCAUCUGCUUUGCAUGCAGAAGGUACCAGGUUCAAUCCCUGGCACCCCCA